AGUGAACGCUGGCGGUAGGCCUAACACAUGCCAGUCGAACGGCAGCACAGUAAGAGCUUGCUCUUACGGGUGGCGAGUGGCGGACGGGUGAGGAAUACAUCGGAAUCUACUUUUUCGUGGGGGAUAACGUAGGGAAACUUACGCUAAUACCGCAUACGACCUACGGGUGAAAGCAGGGGAUCUUCGGACCUUGCGCGAUUGAAUGAGCCGAUGUCGGAUUAGCUAGUUGGCGGGGUAAAGGCCCACCAAGGCGACGAUCCGUAGCUGGUCUGAGAGGAUGAUAGGCCACACUGGAACGGAGACACGGACCAGAGUCCUACGGGAGGCAGCAGUGGGGAAUAUUGGACAAUGGGCGCAAGCCUGAUCCAGCCAUACCGCGUGGGUGAAGAAGGCCUUCGGGUUGUAAAGCCCUUUUGUUGGGAAAGAAAAGCAGCAGGUUAAUACCCCGCUGUUCUGACGGUACCCAAAGAAUAAGCACCGGCUAACUUCGU
rnacentral:rRNA from 1 species